rnacentral:rRNA from 1 species
UACAGAGGUCUCAAGCGUUGUUCGGAUUCAUUGGGCGUAAAGGGUGCGUAGGCGGCGCGGUAAGUCGGGUGUGAAAUCUCGGAGCUUAACUCCGAAACUGCAUUCGAUACUGCCGUGCUUGAGGACUGGAGAGGAGACUGGAAUUUACGGUGUAGCAGUGAAAUGCGUAGAGAUCAUGAGGAAGACCAGUGGCGAAGGCGGGUCUCUGGACAGUUCCUGACGCUGAGGCACGAAGGCCAGGGGAGCAAACGGG